UUAGCUUGUCAUAAAACUUUAUAAAACAUAAAACUUUAUAAAAACUUGUUCUGAAGCUCAUCAGCACAGAUCUCAGAGUUGCGUCGAUGUUUCCUCUUUCCUGCUCAUCACACGAUUCAGAUGAAGUGGAGAAAGAAAAUCACACAUCCAGAAAACUGCUGGAGCCUCAGAAAUCACAGAGCAGCAGAAAACAAGAAGACAGAGAGAGAAAUGGAGACACAAACCAGUGAAGAGAGAAGAGGAGAGAGAUUUGAGAGACGUCACAGUAUUGAGGGAAUAAUGCCCAAUUUGUCAUGUGAUCCAGAUGAUCCUGUAAAGAUUGAUUCUGAUGUCAAAACUGAGGAGAGAUUCUCACAUCAAAACCUUCAUCAUGUUCUCAAGAACACACAACAUCACUGAUGAAGACCUGAACAUCAUCUUCAUCAUAAUCAUAAUCAUCAUCAUCAUUAUAAUCAUCACAUCUUCAUCCACCUCUUGGAUUCUGGAAGAUUUUACACACUAAUGACAAACAACCAGACUGGGGCUGUUUACAUGACACCGUUUUUAACACUUUUUUAAUGCGUUUUGGCCGUUUGUUUACUUGGCAACAGCAUUUUGCUGGAAACACAAACCUUUGAAAACGGAUUUCAAAGUGCAAGUUUUUGAAAAUUAUACCAUUAUCAUUUCUGUGUAAACUACAAAAACAUGAAUUUGUGAAUCAAUUUAUUAAAGGAUGUUUUAUUAAAAAGUUCAGGAGCAACAUGUUCAAAUGAUCAACAAUCAACGAGCAACAUGUCUACACAAUUAGUGGAGGUAUAUAUAUAUAUAUAUAUACACACAUCUGCCGCAUUAAUGGCAAGAGACGAAUUUCAUAAUAACGGUAUGUUCUUAUUUUAAUUUAUUUCUCUUGUGGCCUGGACAUGUUUCCUUGGUCAAAAAAGUGUUUUUUAUUUACAAGAAAAAAUCUGUUUAUGCAAUAUUAAAGACCUCAAAUGCUAAUUACUUGUAAUUUGUUUAAAUCUCCUCCAUUAGGUUUUGCUCAUUUUUCAGCAAGAAUUUUUUACAUUUAAAUGCAAUAAAAUGUAGUAUGCUCCCUUAUUCUUUUAUAUAUUUUAAUACGUAUAGGUCAGAAUAAGUGUGUUGUUUACAUUUUUACAUAAAUAUAAAUAUUACACUGAAUGACAAUUGAACAUUAUUUCACCCAUAUUUUGACACUGUAUUCUCCUAAAACUGACUUUAAAAGUUUUACUUGCAUUUAAUGUGCUUUCUAUGUGAAAUCACUUUUGUAAAUAUCUAUUGAAAGUGAAACAAAUGAGAAGAAGAAUAUUUCGUGUUAACAGGUUGUUGUUUAACCCUAAAAGGGGCGACGUGACAUGGAGGAUACAAACAUUUGCCAGAUUUUUUAAACAUU